GAGGGCAGGCUCGUGUUCUGUCAUACGCCACACAACUUCCAGCAAAAACACAAACAUCCAAAAAGACGUUGGGCCUGUGGAACCCCUAGAUAUCAAAAUCCAGAUUCCUGAAGGAAGCAGAUGACAGAUGGCGCUGAUGAAAUGCCCUCCUUAAGCCACCUUCUUGAUCCAGACCUUCACACAGCAGCUGCAUGGCAGAGUGACUAACUGCAAAGCUUGAGAGCCACACUGUUCCAGCACAUACCCCAGCCCUGCAACUUAGGCUCUGUGGGACUGGGAAACUCAUUCACCCCUCAGAACUUCCAAAUCAUCGAUACAGCAUUACCAGUGUCGAACCUUGGCAGAAAUUUGAAGCUCACUUUUGAUGAAGGAAGAGUGUGUUUGUUCAGUGAUGUAAUUAAGACAUGUUUGACAACGUCAGCUUUUGACGUGGUGAUACUAAGUGCUGCAUCCUAAACUGGCAACCAUGAGGCACCAAUUCUAGUGUCUUGAGGGAAAAAAAGACACGAAGCUGGUGGUAACGCAAAA